rnacentral:rRNA from 1 species
UACGUAGGGUGCAAGCGUUAAUCGGAAUUACUGGGCGUAAAGCGUGCGCAGGCGGUUGUGUAAGUCAGAUGUGAAAUCCCCGGGCUCAACCUGGGAAUUGCAUUUGAGACUGCACGGCUAGAGUGUGUCAGAGGGGGGUAGAAUUCCACGUGUAGCAGUGAAAUGCGUAGAUAUGUGGAGGAAUACCGAUGGCGAAGGCAGCCCCCUGGGAUAACACUGACGCUCAUGCACGAAAGCGUGGGGAGCAAACAGGAUUAGAUACCCUAGUAGUCC